UCACGGUUUGCACCGGCAGUCUGGUUAGAGUUCCCGACAUUACUCGCUGGCAACUAACCACAGGGGUUGCGCUCGUUAUAGGACUUAACCUGACACCUCACGGCACGAGCUGACGACAACCAUGCAGCGCCUUGUAAUCUGCCCGAAGGAAAAGCUGUUUCCAGCCCUGUCAGACUACAUUUAAGCCCUGGUAAGGUGGGGAUGACGUGUGU
rnacentral:misc_RNA from 1 species